rnacentral:sRNA from 1 species
AUAUCUCUCCGUACGGGAAGGAUGAGAAGCUUCGACUAAGGUUCGAUUCGAGCGAAAGCGAGAAAGCGUUGCCGCAGGCA